UACAGAGGGUGCGAGCGUUGUCCGGAAUCACUGGGCGUAAAGGGCGCGUAGGUGGUGGCUUAAGCGUGCGGUGAAAGCUCGGGGCUCAACCCCGAGUCGGCCGUGCGGACUGGGUUCACUGGAGCAUAGUAGAGGCAGGUGGAAUUCCGGGUGUAGCGGUGGAAUGCGUAGAGAUCCGGAAGAACACCGGUGGCGAAGGCGGCCUGCUGGGCUAUGGCUGACACUGAGGCGCGACAGCGUGGGGAGCAAACAGG
rnacentral:rRNA from 1 species